AGCCGCUCCGCUGUUGGCGUAACCGGCAGCGCAGCUAUGCGGUCUGAGUUAUAAGAAUAAAUUCAAUAAGGACAUUCUAAAAACCGAAGUCAAACGGCACAGACGUGCCAGUGUUAUAAUUGUAAUAUUGACAUAUUACAUGGCGACCGUGACAAGUGUCACGAACAUGUAGAACAUAUGUUAAAAUAAAUCACAUAAGAAAAAAAAGCGGAGAGCGAGCGGCGAGAGCGGACAACAACAGCAGGCACCACUGGAAGCAGCAGGAAAUGGAGCGGAACUGAACGCAAAAUAGCAAAGCCAAGGAAGACCUGCCCGAACGACUGCGAGGGACCUCUACACUCGCCGCAUUGCGAGUACACCUGUGCAGCCUGCACCGGUGCCCCAACAGAGAAGCAGUAGCAGCCUGUGCAGCCAGCACCGGCCUCGUCUAGCGCAACAAGCUAGACCCGGAGCAAUGAACCGACAGCGCUUCCUAGAGCGCCCACCGCCAAACAAAAUUUUUUUUUAAAUGCCUGCGAUGCAUACAACUUAACUGUAAGAUCUAAAAUUGUAAAAUUGAGCGGAAUAACAUCUGCCCAAUUAGAGUGAGGCCUGUAAAGCCACACAAACACUAGGCAG